UACGUAGGGUGCAAGCGUUGUCCGGAAUUAUUGGGCGUAAAGAGCUCGUAGGCGGUCUGUCGCGUCUGCUGUGAAAACUCAGGGCUUAACCCUGAGCUUGCAGUGGGUACGGGCAGACUAGAGUGCGGUAGGGGAGACUGGAAUUCCUGGUGUAGCGGUGGAAUGCGUAGAUAUCUGGAGGAAUACCGGUGGCGAAGGCGGCAUCCUGGACCGACAUUGACGCUGAGGAGCGAAAGCUAGGGGAGCAAACGGG
rnacentral:rRNA from 1 species